CCCCAUUAAAAACGUUAAGGAAGGGGAUGCCUGGGUGGCUCAGCAGUUGAGCCCCACAUUGGGCUCCCCACAGGGAGCCUUCUUCUCCCUCUGCUUAUGUCUCAGCCUCUGUCUCUGUGUCUCUCAUGAAUAAAUAAAUAAAAUUCUUAAAAAUAUAAAUAUAAUAAAUGUGAUACUAAAAGCACUGUCCAAAUGGCCUUUAAAUUUUAUUUAUUUCCUCCUCUAAAAGGAAGGUUUUUCAACUUAAAAUUCUAUGGAGAUUACCUGGUUUAAUUCCUCAGAACUAUCCCAAAUGGUUUUGAAAGAGUCAUUAUUUCUAACAUCCAGUGAACAUAUGAUGCUUUUACUUAGGAAGAGGAAGAAAGUGUUUACAAUCUCACUUUGUACUUCAAAAAAAUUCUAUAACAUUUAGCUCGUGAUUCAGAAAUUAUAAAUAAAGCUGUUUUAUCAUCCAAUGUUACUGAAACACCGAGUCCUGUGAUGCUUUAGUCUUUAUGGUUCCAGGGGUUUAAUUUUUAUUUUGCACUUUUUUGUAAGAAAUAGCUUAUGAAUCCUAAGUCUAAAUAUUUAUUUCCUACACCAAUUGCUCUGAUCUCCGUUUCUGCAAAUUUUGCUUUUAUGCAUGGAUGAAAUGGGUUUGCUGUGGUUUCUUAGUGGGCUAUACCAGAUACACCUGGAUCUGAAAUUAAUCUUGACACACAGGAACACUCUAAUUUUGAAAGGAAUAUAGAAGCUUGAUGCCUCGGGACGCCUGGGUGGCUCAGUGGUUGAGCAUCUGCCUUUGGCUCAGGUCAUGAUCCCAGGAUCCUGGGAUUGAAUCCCACAUUGGGCUCCCCACAGAAAGCCUGUUUUUCUCCCUGCCUGUGUCUUUGCCUCUCUCUGUGUGCCUCUCAUGAAUUAAUAAAUAAAAUUUUUAAAAAGCUUGAAGCUUCAAUGUCCUCUGCUGUAAGAUGGGCAUAAUAAAAGUACUUAACUUGUAGAACUGUUGUGGGGUUUAUAUAAGAGGAUGAAUGUGAAGUCUGUUGUGGCAGAGAUGAUGCUAUAUAAUUCACCAAAUCCUGUUUCUGUUUCCCCUUCAUGACGAAUGAGACACAUUUUCAACCUCCCUUGUAUUGCUCUGGGGCCAUGUGGCAUGGGCUGUUUCCAGGCUUGGCUACCCAGCCUGGCUAUCAUGGGGGACAUAUGCUCCAAGUCAUGUGGCUGUAAGGCAUAGGAGGGUGUCCUACCCCACAUAGGACUUUCUUUUAGAGAUUUUAUUUAUUCAUGAGAGGCACAGAGAGAGAGAGACAGACACAGACAUAGGCAGAGAGAGAAGCAGGCUCCCUGUGGGGAGCCCCCCAUGCAGGACUCUAUCCCAGAACUCCAAGAUCACACCCUGAGCCAAAGGCAGAAGCUCAACCACUGAGCCACCCAGUGCUCCCCCAUAUAGGACUUUAUGUGAGCGAGAAACCAACCUUUAUUUGUGAAGAAUUGGGGAUUUCUCUGUUAUUGCAACAUUGCCUGGCCUACCCUAAUACACUUGACAUAUGUAUAUAGUAAACAGUGAAUUUUAGCAUUUAAGCUAUCUAUGAACCAAUAUGGAACAAUUCCUUGCAUAUAUGUUAUUAAAAGAAAAAAAGUCUAGACAAAGAACAGAGUAUUUAGUGUUCUCCAUUUUGCUAAGAAAAAAGGGGAAAUUAAAAUGUGUAUUAACCCUUGAACAAUACAAUUUGAAUUGAAUGGGUUCACUUAUAUAAGUACAGUAUAGUACAAUACAAUACUGUAAAUGUAUUUUCUCUUCCUUAUGAUUUCCUUAAUAACCUUUUCUCAAGCUUAUUUUAUCACAAGGAUACAGUAUAUAAUACUAUAGUGAGAUAUUAGUAGUUAAGUUUUGAGGGAGACCAUAUCCUUAAUCCUUGUGUUGUUCCACAACUGUAACUCCAUAUUUGCUGAUUUUUGCAAAAAGAAAUGCAGGAAAGGAGAAAUCAGAAAUGAAUGAAAAUAAAACAGAGUGAAGAAGAUGCGCAUGGGAGUGAGGCUUCUCUAACUAAAUGUGUUGAUUGAUUUUUGAACCAUAUAUUUUUUUUUAACUCAAAAACAGGGGAUCCCUGGGUGGCUCAGCAGUUUAGCACCUGCCUUUGGCCCAGGGCGUGAUCCUGGAGUCCCAGUAUCAAGUUCCACAUCGGGCUCCCUGUAUGGAGCCUUCUUCUCCCUCUGCCUGUGUCUCUGCCUCUGUGUGUGUGUGUGUGUGUGUGUAAUGAAUAAAUGAAUAAAAUCUUAAAAAACAACAACCUCAAAAACAAAAGUUAAUCAUAAAGAAAAUCCAUUAAACCUGGAGCUUAAAAGAAACAAAUAACCUAACUCUAUAUAAAACUAGUUACUGAACCAACAAGGAAAGAGAAAGUUAUUUUGGGUAACUUAACAUACUAUUCUGACUAUACCCUACAUUAAUAUUAUUGGUAACCAAGAAUUUCCAACAUCAAAGGAAAAAGAAAAUAUAAAAAGAAUUUUAAGAAAAAUACUGUUUAAUAAUGCCAAUAACAAUAUGAACUCCGGCAGCCUGGGUGGCUCAGAGGUUUAGCGCUGCCUUCAGCCCAGGAUGUGAUCCUAGAGUCCCAGGAUUGAGUCCCAUGUUGGGCUACCUGCAUGGAGCCUGCUUCUCCCUCUGCCUGUGUCUCUCUGCCUCUCUCUCUCUC
rnacentral:lncRNA from 1 species